rnacentral:rRNA from 1 species
UCUUCGGAGGUACUCGAGUGGCGAACGGGUGAGUAACACGUGGGUGAUCUGCCCUGCACUCUGGGAUAAGCCUGGGAAACUGGGUCUAAUACCGGAUAGGACCAUGCUUUAGUGUGUGUGGUGGAAAGUUUUUUCGGUGUAGGAUGAGCCCGCGGCCUAUCAGCUUGUUGGUGGGGUAAUGGCCUACCAAGGCGGCGACGGGUAGCCGGACUGAGAGGUUGGUCGGCCACAUUGGGACUGAGAUACGGCCCAGACUCCUACGGGAGGCAGCAGUGGGGAAUAUUGCACAAUGGGCGCAAGCCUGAUGCAGCGACGCCGCGUGGGGGAUGACGGCCUUCGGGUUGUAAACUCCUUUCGCCAGGGACGAAGCGUUUUGUGACGGUACCGGAGAAGAAGCACCGGC